AUUGAACGCUGGCGGCAGGCCUAACACAUGCAAGUCGAGCGGAGCGGAUGACGGGUGAGUAAUGCCUAGGAAUCUGCCUGGUAGUGGGGGAUAACGUCCGGAAACGGGCGCUAAUACCGCAUACUCUCAGAUGAGCCUAGGUCGGAUUCGCUAGUUGGUGGGGUAAAGGCCGACCAAGGCGACGAUCCGUAACUGGUCUGAGAGGCUGAUCAGUCAAACUGGAACUGAGACACGGUCCAGACGCUUACGGGAGGAAGCAGUGGGGAAUAGUGGAAAAUGGGCGAAAGCCUGAUCCAGCCAUGCAGCGUGUGUGAAGAAGGUCUUCGGAUUGUAAAGCACUUUAAGAUGGGAGGCGUUACCAACAGAAUAAGCACCGGCUAACUUCGUGCCAGCAGCCGCGGUAAUAC
rnacentral:rRNA from 1 species